rnacentral:ncRNA from 2 species
GAAUUGCACCAGGGGUGCCUGUAUCUGCUAAAAAUAACACGGCAGGACAGGCUGAGAAAGUCCCUUUGAACCUGAACAGCAUAAUACCUGCGUAAGGAGCGUGCAAUCAUGUUUUU